rnacentral:rRNA from 1 species
AGUGAACGCUGGCGGUAGGCCUAACACAUGCAAGUCGAACGGCAGCACAGUAAGAGCUUGCUCUUACGGGUGGCGAGUGGCGGACGGGUGAGGAAUACAUCGGAAUCUACUUUUUCGUGGGGGAUAACGGAGGGAAACUUACGCUAAUACCGCAUACGACCUACGGGUGAAAUCAGGGGAUCUUCGGACCUUGCGCGAUUGAAUGAGCCGAUGUCGGAUUAGCUAGUUGGCGGGGUAAAGGCCCACCAAGGCGACGAUCCGUAGCUGGUCUGAGAGGAUGAUCAGCCACACUGGAACUGAGACACGGUCCAGACUCCUACGGGAGGCAGCAGUGGGGAAUAUUGGACAAUGGGCGCAAGCCUGAUCCAGCCAUACCGCGUGGGUGAAGAAGGCCUUCGGGUUGUAAAGCCCUUUUGUUGGGAAAGAAAAGCAGCAGGUUAAUACCCCGCUGUUCUGACGGUACCCAAAGAAUAAGCACCGGCUAACUUCGUG